UACAGAGGGUGCGAGCGUUAAUCGGAAUUACUGGGCGUAAAGCGCGCGUAGGCGGCUUGGUAUGUCGGGUGUGAAAUCCCCGGGCUCAACCUGGGAACUGCAUCCGAAACUGCCUUGCUCGAGUAUGGGAGAGGGGAGUGGAAUUUCCGGUGUAGCGGUGAAAUGCGUAGAUAUCGGAAGGAACAUCAGUGGCGAAGGCGACUUCCUGGACCAAUACUGACGCUCAGGUGCGAAAGCGUGGGGAGCAAACAGG
rnacentral:rRNA from 1 species